GACGAACGCUGGCGGCGUGCUUAACACAUGCAAGUUGAACGGAGCACAUCAAGUAGCAAUACGAGGUGUGCUUAGUAGCGGACGGGUGAGUAACGCGUGAGUAACCUACCUUUGUGAGGGGGACAACAGCUGGAAACGGCUGCUAAUACCGCAUAAGGCCACGACUCCGAGUGGAGACGAGGUAAAAGAUUUAUCGCACAAAGAUGGACUCGCGUCCCAUUAGCUAGUUGGUGAGGUAACGGCCCACCAAGGCGACGAUGGGUAGCCGACCUGAGAGGGUGAUCGGCCACACUGGAACUGAGACACGGUCCAGACUCCUACGGGAGGCAGCAGUGGGGAAUAUUGGGCAAUGGGCGCAAGCCUGACCCAGCGACGCCGCGUGAGGGAAGAAGGUCUUCGGAUUGUAAACCUCUGUCCUAUGGGACGAAAAAAAUGACGGUACCAUAGGAGGAAGCUCCGGCUAACUACGUGCCAGCAGCCGCGGUAAUACGUAGGGAGCGAGCGUUGUCCGGAAUUACUGGGCGUAAAGGGUGCGUAGGUGGCCUAGCAAGUCAGAUGUGAAAUCCCCGGGCUUAACUCGGGGGGUGCAUUUGAAACUGCUUGGCUUGAGUGCAGGAGAGGAAAGCGGAAUUCCUAGUGUAGCGGUGAAAUGCGUAGAUAUUAGGAGGAACACCAGUGGCGAAGGCGGCUUUCUGGACUGUAACUGACACUGAGGCACGAAAGCGUGGGGAGCAAACAGGAUUAGAUACCCUGAUAGUCCACGCGGUAAACGAUGGAUACUAGGUGUGGGGGAGAUACAACCUCCGUGCCG
rnacentral:rRNA from 1 species